UCUCACGCACACACACACACCUGGAAUUAUUUUUCACUAGUAUGUAUAAACGGAUUUCACCUGUGUGUGUGUGUGCUUUUUACACGUGUGUGUAAGGGACAACAAUUUCAGUAGUAUGUGUGCAAAGAUUUCAGUUAUGUGUAUGAGCGCAUCUUACCAUUGUGUAUACGAGCAUUUUACCACUAUGUGUAAGAGCAUCUUACUAGUGUGUGUGAGCGAUGUUGCAUUCCGGUUCCGGUAUAAUCCCCGCCCCUUUUCAGACAAGUUUAUUUUUAUUUUUUUUAAAGCCAAGUUGUGGACAAAAUGUCUGCCGACAAGUAGCCUAACCGAGGCGGGAGCUCCACUUCAUAAUUUGAGGGCUUCAGCGGAGAAUAUAAUAACACUUUCAAUGCAACAAGGGUCGGACUGCCGCCAUGGGUCUCCCCCGCAGGACGCGGCACCUGAGCGGCCACACAGCGGUGCCUUUCUCCUCCCGACAGCCGCAGCCUGGAGCACUCGUUCCAUUGCGAGUUUGCACCGCACACAUGCAACGUUUCAGUUCAUGGACAUCGGGGCAAAAGGAGGAAAAGAGUCACCACACAGCUGCAUGACCAUUUCAACAAGGACGGAAUAAACAACCUCUGGAUUCAUGGAACUUCUCUGCA